rnacentral:rRNA from 1 species
UUCUCCUGGAAACGGGUGGUAAUGCCGGAUGCUCCAGUUGAUCGCAUGGUCUUCUGGGAAAGCUUUCGCGGUAUGGGAUGGGGUCGCGUCCUAUCAGCUUGACGGCGGGGUAACGGCCCACCGUGGCUUCGACGGGUAGCCGGCCUGAGAGGGCGACCGGCCACAUUGGGACUGAGAUACGGCCCAGACUCCUACGGGAGGCAGCAGUGGGGAAUAUUGCACAAUGGGCGCAAGCCUGAUGCAGCGACGCCGCGUGAGGGAUGGAGGCCUUCGGGUUGUAAACCUCUUUUAUCGGGGAGCAAGCGAGAGUGAGUUUACCCGUUGAAUAAGCACCGGCUAACUACGUGCCAGCAGCCGCGGUAAUACGUAGGGUGCAAGCGUUAUCCGGAAUUAUUGGGCGUAAAGGGCUCGUAGGCGGUUCGUCGCGUCCGGUGUGAAAGUCCAUCGCUUAACGGUGGAUCCGCGCCGGGUACGGGCGGGCUUGAGUGCGGUAGGGGAGACUGGAAUUCCCGGUGUAACGGUGGAAUGUGUAGAUAUCGGAAAGAACACCAACC